rnacentral:rRNA from 1 species
AUAUUACUAAGGGGAGGAAAAGAAACUAACAAGGAUUCCCCCAGUAGCGGCGAGUGAAGAGGGAAAAGCUCGAACUUGAAAUCUCCAUCUCUCAGAUGGCGAAUUGUAGUUUAUGAAACUAAAUUCAUUGGCACAAUUAUGAUUAAAAUCUCCUGGAACGAGGUAUCAAAGUGGGUGAUAAUCCCGUUUGAAGUCAUUGAUUGUGUUAACAUAUGUUUUUAGUUUCACGAGUCGGGUUGUUUGGGAAUGCAAUCUUAAAUGAGUGAUAAAUCUCAUCUAAAGCUAAAUAUACGCAAGAGACCGAUAGCGCACAAGUA